rnacentral:rRNA from 1 species
GACCUCAGAUCAGGCAAGGAUACCCGCUGAACUUAAGCAUAUCAAUAAGCGGAGGAAAAGAAACUAACAAGGAUUCCCUUAGUAACGGCGAGUGAAGCGGGAAUAGCUCAAAUUUUAAAUCUGGCUGGUCUCUGAUCGGUCCGAAUUGUAAUUUCAAGAAGCGUUAUCGGCGAACGGCCCUGGUGUAAGUCCUUUGGAACGAGGCAUCAUGGAGGGUGAGAAUCCCGUAUGCAAUCGGGGCCGGAUCGCGUCCGUUGCGCUCUCAAAGAGUCGAGUUGUUUGGGAUUGCAGCUCUAAAUGGGUGGUAAAUUCCAUCUAAGGCUAAAUAUGGGCGAGAGACCGAUAGCGAACAAGUACCGUGAGGGAAAGAUGAAAAGCACUUUGAAAAGAGAGUCAAACAGUACGUGAAAUUGUUGAAAGGGAAACGAUUGAAGCCAGUCGUGCCGGCGUGAAAUCAGCCUCGUGGUCUGGGAUCGGUUCGUCCGGGAUCAGAAAAUUAGGUGCACUUUCUCGCAUGGCAGGUUAGCAUCAGUUUGAUGCGUCGGAUAAAGAUAUAGGAAAUGUGGCUCUCUUUCACGAGUGAGUGUUAUAGUCCUAUGUUCAUACGAUGUGUCGGACUGAGGAAUGCAGCGAAUGCCUCACUUUAAUCCGGUAGGGCUAACUGCCUAUCCUCUGGCGGUCGGCGGUUCGGAUGACAUUUAGGUGAUAUUCGGAACGUUUCGACACCAAAAGGGUAGUCGCAUGUAUACAAUUCGCUAAGGAUGCUGACGUAAUGGCUUUAAACGACCCGUCUUGAAACACGGACCAAGGAGUCUAACAUACGUGCGAGUGUUUGGGUGUUAAACCCAUGCGCGAAAUGAAAGUGAACGUGGGUGGGAACCCUCUUUAUUGAUGGGCGCACCAUCGACCGAUCUGGAUAUUCUUUGAUAGAUUUGAGUUAGAGCAUGUCUGUUGGGACCCGAAAGAUGGUGAACUAUGCCUGAAUAGGGUGAAGCCAGAGGAAACUCUGGU